rnacentral:rRNA from 1 species
UACGUAGGGUGCAAGCGUUGUCCGGAAUUAUUGGGCGUAAAGAGCUCGUAGGCGGUCUGUCGCGUCUGCUGUGAAAACCUGGGGCUUAACCCCGGGCCUGCAGUGGGUACGGGCAGACUAGAGUGUGGUAGGGGAGACUGGAAUUCCUUGUGUAGCGGUGAAAUGCGCAGAUAUCAGGAGGAACACCGGUGGCGAAGGCGGGUCUCUGGGCCAUAACUGACGCUGAGGAGCGAAAGCGUGGGGAGCGAACAGG